rnacentral:rRNA from 1 species
CGUACGAGCGCACCCUUGUCCUUAGUUGCCAGCACAUUAUGGUGGGAACUCUAAGGAGACUGCCGGUGACAAACCGGAGGAAGGUGGGGACGACGUCAAGUCAUCAUGGCCCUUACGGCCUGGGCUACACACGUGCUACAAUGGCUAGGACAGACGGCCGCAAACCCGCGAGGGGGAGCCAAUCCGACAAACCUAGUCGUAGUCCGGAUCGGAGUCUGCAACUCGACUCCGUGAAGUCGGAAUUGCUAGUAAUCGCGAAUCAGAAUGUCGCGGUGAAUACGUUCCCGGGCCUUGUACACACCGCCCGUCACACCAUGGGAGUGGGUUGCUCCAGAAGUGGUUAGUCUAACCUUCGGGAGGACGAUCACCACGGAGUGAUUCAUGACUGGGGUGAAGUCGUAACAAGGUAGCCCUAGGGGAACCUGGGGCUGGAUCACCUCCUU